GGUGAACGCUGGCGGUAGGCCUAACACAUGCAAGUCGAACGGCAGCACAGAGGAGCUUGCUCCUUAGGUGGCGAAUGGCGGACGGGUGAGGAAUACAUCGGAAUCUACUCUGUCGUGGGGGAUAACGUAGGGAAACUUACACUAAUACCGCAUACGACCUACGGGUGAAAGCAGGGGACCUUCGGGCCUUGCGCGAUUGAAUGAGCCGAUGACGGAUUAGCUAGUUGGCGGGGUAAAGGCCCACCAAGGCGACGAUCCGUAGCUGGUCUGAGAGAUGAGCAGCCACACUGGAACUGAGACACGGGCCAGACUCCUACGGGAGGCAGCAGUGGGGAAUAUUGGACAAUGGGCGCAAGCCUGAUCCAGCCAUACCGCGUGGGUGAAGAAGGCCUUCGGGUUGUAAAGCCCUUUUGUUGGGAAAGAAAUCCAGCUGGCUAAUACCCGGUUGGGAUGACGGUACCCAAAGAAUAAGCACCGGCUAACUUCGUGCCAGCAGCCGCGGUAA
rnacentral:rRNA from 1 species